UCGAAGCCCCGGGACCGUUUGGAGUCGCUGAAGGGAGGCGGGAAAUCGCCAGGCUGGAGCGCGAGGCUCCUGCGGGCAGCGAACCAGCCGCAGGCCCAUGGCGCUGCCGCGGGGGUUGGACCGAACUCCCUGCCCUGGCGGGCGCGCGCGGUGUUUGUAGCCGCAGAAUCCGUUUCUGUCUGCUCUAGCAUGGAUGAGACAGGGAAGAAGAAGCUCAGACCGCAGCACAGGUUUGGGCAGUGAUGGCUCUUGGGUUAUUUGCUGUGCUUGCAGAGGACUUGUCAGGCCAAUGGAGCAGCCCAGCCAGGAGGAGCUGGAAGAAGAGGACUUGAGCAGCCCAGACAUCCAAUUUGGCAGGAGCUGAGGAGCCCAAGAGUUCUAUCUGGUGAUGGAGGAGGAGCAGCUGUGUAUUUUGCUGAAAUGAUGUCUCUCUAUCCAGUGUCUGAGUAGCAAGGUGCCUCCCUGAGAGCAGAGAGAUGAUUCUUGUUUGCAUGGGAUGGGUCCUGGGGAGGUUGGAGCCCUGCAUUUGGCUCUUAAUGGGCUAGGAGCAUCACCUUGCUCCCCAAGACUGAAUGUGAAAGAGGAAAACCUGCCUGCAACUCGGGACACUCUGUUAUUCCUUGUCUGUCCUUCCAAGUCACUGGGUGUGAGUCACUGGACACAAUAUCGAGUACUGCCAAAGAAAACCAUCUUCUGGUCCUUCAGAGGACCUGAGCAUCCUGGCCAGGCAUGGGAUGGGAUGGGGGUAGGGAGAGACCUGCAGGACUAUAGUCCCUUACCAGAGCUGAUCACUUCAAGCACUGGCUGGGCUGGAGGGGACUAGGGAAGGGGGCUCCAGGAAGCAGAAGCCAGGUGACCUGAUUGCCCAUGUCUGUCCUCCAGACGCCAGUACUGGCCUACGUCCUCUUUUCAGUUCCUAAUGACAUUGGGCAGAUGAGAGAAUGGCCAACCUGGAGGAGAGACCAGGAGAAGGAGCAGCCACCCUGAGCCCAUACAGCAGGAUAGAAACCAGACAGCGAGCUGUGGAGUAGGUGCAAAUGGAAAUUUGCUUAAGCUAAGUAUUGAAAGAGUGCUGCAAACGCUCUUGUCUCUGGAGAGAAACGUGUUAUGUUAGCAUGGGGUGGGUCCAUGAGAAAAAAGUCGUUGAAUAUAACUGGGGCAUGUGAAGGUUGGGGGAGCCCUGGCUUCCCACUCAGGGAGUUGUCAUGGCCCAGGGAAGGGAAAGUAUUAGUUUUCCUGAAUUAUGGUUAUCUUCCAGGAAGGCAAAUAGCCUGUAAUCACAGAUGCUCAAGCCUUAGCUCUCUGCCUUCCACAUCACUGGGUGUGAAUAAUUGGUCAUUGCACUCUGCUCCUUGUCUGUACUGCCUCUAGCUUCCUUCAGAGGAUGUGAGCAUUCUGGUUAGGUACAGACUUCUUUGGGAUAAAGGCAAGGGGAAGGGACAACCACGGAGCUAUCCCGCUGCUGGCCCUGUCACCUCCGGGCCCCUGUUUCCUGCACCAUCCACCCAGCAGAACCUGCCCCCGCACCGCUUCACUGGUGCUACAUGCAGAGCGCAACCUGCUGCUCAGGGAUGUACAAGCAUGCGGUCUUCUGGCUGCUGAACCACCUGCUCCAAAGCCUGCCACAGGUCUCACCUUCCUUGGGCAGCAAGACUCUGGCCAGGGGGGUCCCUCAAACCUCCUCACAUCCUGUACCCAGAGCAGCCUACUAAGCACAGAGACUGAGGCUAACAAACCCCGCCCGCCUCCAGCUGGAGCUGCAGCCCAGGGCCCAGCUGAGCCAGGCAGCCAGCGACCCAAACAGGUGGGGCCCCUGGUGUCUCAGGAGUAGGUAUUGCCACCAUCUUCUCUGUAGUACCAUAGCAACGUUACACCAUAGUGACUACCUGCAGGGCACAAAACUGGCUCAACGGGGUGGGCAAAGCUGGGCCGGGGCUGAAGCAUCACAAACUGCUCGGUGUCCCAAUUUCCUACUACUAGGAGUUACUGACACCUAGAUUUUUUUUUUGGGGGGGGCUGUCCUGCCACAUUUGCUACACCCACAAUUUCCCAUUUCUGGGUCUAGGGAGUUGUGACAGGUGGGUUGGACCAUGUCAGAGUUUUGAUUUCUGUGAAAUCUUUAUUUUAAAUUGGGACACUCAUAAAAUGAGAUUGUUCUAAUACGUAUGUGUUCUAAAUUAGCAAAAUUUUGAUUUACUUGUGUCCAGAUUUUAAAGAGAUUUCACAGGAGUAGCAAACUGUGACAGGAGGAACAGCUGUCUGCCCCUCCCCUGGUUCAGAGGUAGCCAUUUCUGACAACCAGCAAUUCAGGCACCAGUGAAGGUAUAGGAUCAUAAAUAAUUUCCUUAAGAUUUGUUUUUAAUAAUGUAUUAAAUAUGGUAAAUACAACAUCACAAUAAAAACAUAAGAAGGGUUAAGGUUAAAGUUUGGGCAGUGGGCUGGGUUCCCCCCCCUUGGGGAAUGACCCCAGGUGGGGCAGGGGAUGACCUGUGUGUAGACCUCCCCCACACCAUUUGGGCAGUGACUUCUGGUGGCUAGCUGUGACACUGCCCUGUGUAUAACCACCAAUUGAAGCACUGACACCCCCCCCCCCCCCCCACACACACCAUUGUGUCAGUGGCCCCUCUGCAGGGCUGGGCUGGGGGGGUCCCAAGAAGCUGUGUGAAGGGAGGAGUCCCAGGGACCUGCUCUCUCUUUCUCCAGGGAUCAGCAACGUGUCCAUGGUAAAAAUUUUGAGGCCUGUGGUAAUUUGACAAGAAAUGUUGAAUGACUGACUGACAUAACACCCCCAAUCUCCAUCACUAAGUACAGUAAUUUUGUCAAGUGUCCAUUGCACAGCAUGGUGGUGCCGACCCUGUCUCUCUCCCCACUGGCCAAGUCUCUGUCAGCACUAGAAGCAGCCGGGCCCGGCCCGGCCCUGCCUCCAACCUGGGAGAGGGACCCACUGCCAAGAUGCUGGGGCUUGUGUCAUUAUAGACCCCUUCCAAGUGUGGGUCCAGGUCCUAGGCCUGGAAACACCCACUGACUGCAUGUGUGUGUAGCCCUGCUCAAGUGCACCAGUAUUUGAUUGAGCCAGGACCAAAACCUUUAUGGGGCCAGUCAUGUAAAGGACAAAUUUCUGCCUAUGUAGAUCAGAGCUCUUUGGAAUCACUGAACAGAAAGUCUGCAGCAGAAUCAAGUUUUACAGUAACUGUUAAUUAGUAUUUAAUGCUUCUAACUGCACCACGGCAGCUAGCCUUCAAAGGUGUGUGUGAGGGAAUUGGGGUCAUGUGCUAGCGUAAUCAAAAUGGCUGCCCCUGUGGAGGGCUUUUCAUGAACAGAUUCAAAGGAAAGUGUGUUGUCAUCCCCAUAUUACAAAUUAGGAAAAAGAGAAUCUUUUCCACUAGCUAUCUACUAGUAGGUUGUGUGUGAGAUGGAGGUUUUACGGAGCAGGUAGCUACUUCACUGCCUCAUGCUGUUUGCUUUUCUUUUUCAAUAGCCUAAUUCCUGUGGCAAAGCUUACAACUGCUCUAUAAGAACAUACAGUCACUUGUUUCAUAGUGAAUAUAUAAAUAUGCAGCGAAAAAUCCUCAUUAUUCAGGAUAAUGUAGAAAGUGAAGACGCUGGCUUUGAUUGUUAAUUAUUCAUGCCCUAAUUAAUAAAACGUUCAGGGAAGCUCCAAGUUAUUAAUCAAUUGUUUAUAAAAUGCAUGUCAAAUGUAACUUGUUUUCAAGCAAUAACCAAAGCUCUUUAAUGUUUGUAAAUCUCAAACAGUAAUUAUUCUAUAUUUAACUGGCAUCCAAUGUGGAGCUUUGUGGUGGGGUGUCUACCCCACCCAGGACUGGGAGGGGUUUAGGUGAUUAGUCAGGUCUAUUAACUCCACAGGUUGCACCUGGAGGAAGAGCCAGAGAGCAGAGAAUUGACUGCAAGCAGGCUCAGCUGGGCAGGACCUAUAAAGCUGGCAACAGGAAGUGGGAGGAGUGUUUGGAGGCUGCUCCUGGGUGAGGAGAGUUGUUAUUAGGGAGGAGAACUUGAAACUGGCACUCCCAGGGUGGGGGGCAGGAAUGGUAGAAAGCAGUCUAGGGAAAGAGCAGUGAGGAGUGGGAGAAUAAAGCCCAGAACUGCUGGGUUGAGGGUCCCUGGACUGGAACCUGGACUAGAGGGUAGACCCAGGUUCCCCUACUGUCUGCUGGGGAAGUGGCACUAUCAGGGCAGUACAGGAGAUGACUUCCUGAGACUGUUUGUAUAGAAGGACUUUGGGUAACCCUGGGAGAGGGAAACAUGGAUGAUGACCUGGCUGGAGGGCCUGGUCAUGAAGGGGCAGCUGCAGUUCCUGGAGUGAGACCGGUCUCCAGGGCGAGAGAGACAUACUAGGUGAGGAGGACAUGGCAACUGUAGAGCUAAUCCCUCAGAGUGGCCAGGAAGAGGCACCACUAGCAGUGAGUGCACCUUGUCUGUGAUGGGAUCCCCAAAGGUGCAGCCUGGGACUGUGCCCCCUGAACUCUCACCAGUCUGGGCUGCCUCUCACAAUGCCUUGCUAGUGACCAGCAGCAAGCUCUACAGGAGUUGUGAUCACUCAGCACAACUGCAUGUGGAGCCCCACACCCAGCUAGAUUGCAUGGAUGCUCCCAGAGCCAUGCAUGAAUGCUCCCAGAGAAAGGCACUAGCCAUAUGCCCUGCAGUUCCCAGCACUGUACCCCAGGAAUAUAUCAUCUUGCCCUGCUCAAGAGGGGCAGUGCAAAUGUAUUAAUUGGUUCACCACUUCAACAAUGGAAAGUGGACCUACACCAACCUUUGCAAACCUCAGCAGAUUUGCCCCACACUUUGUACAAACUCACUGGUAAAGAUAAACAAACAAGUUUGUCUAUAAAAGGUAGAUUUUUAAGUGAGAGGCAGAAAGUCAGUUAGUUACCAAAAGAAAUAAAAUAUAAGCAUGCAGUCUAAACUCUCAACUCCAUUAGACUGGGCAGCAACUAGAUUAAGCAGUUUUUCUCACCCCACUGGAUAUUGCAAUCCUUAAUAUACAAGUUUGUUCCUUAAACCUGGGCCAAUCUCCUGUAUUGGAGUCUUGUCAUCUUCUUGGUGUUUUGGUUGCUUGCAGCAUAGGUGGGGGCAGGAGAAGGGCCCAGUAUGUGUGCACUCUGCCUGUUUUAUACCCCCAGCACAAGUCCAGGCAUGUCUGGGGGGCAUUGCUGAGUCUCUCCAAGCAAGGUUGAGUAAUUCCUCUGGUGUGGCCUCAUGCAGGUGAGUCAUUACAUUGUAGCUCCCUUGCUGGAUGAUGGGUUUUUUGACACCCUGCCUGGGCAUUGAUUACUUUCCUUGCCUCUGGGGAGCUACUAUCUAGUUGAUUUCCCCACCUUACAGCAUGUUUUAAUGACCACCAUACAACAAGAUUCUCAUAACUUCAUAUGCAUUAAUGAUACACAUGUAUGGAUAGAGAAAUGUCUUCCAGCAGAUCAUAACCUUUCCCCUGAUACCUUACAAGGAAUGCUUUAUAUGCAAGAUCAUGAUUAUAUGAUAAUGAGAAAUAUGGGGGUUACAGUAUGCUCCCCAAGGUAUAGAAUGUCUCACUGUCUCAGGCUUAAAAUAUGUGAAUUAAAAAGCUUGUCUAAUAUGUAACUAUAAAAUAUUUUUCUCUUCAGACAAGAUUAAACAUUUUUAUCUAGGAAGAUGACUGAAGCUGGUCAUUGCAGAGCUACAUUUACUGUCUGUUGUUUACCUUGCACAACACGAUUGCUUUGUUACUAUUAGGCCCAUCCCUGGAGAUGGUUACAUGUGGAAGUGCUGUUACCCACGUGUUGGAUCAGACCCAUAGCUGGAAAAAUUAAGUUCCUAUUGAUUUUGGGUAGAUGAGAGAAUGACCAACCUGUGGCAGAGACCAAAAGGAGCAACCACCCUGAGACCAUCCAGGGAGAUGGAAACCAGACAGUGAUCUGUGGAGUCAGAACAAAUAGAAAUGUGCUUAAGUUAAGUAUUGAGGGAGGACUGCAAGAACUCUUGUCAGCAUGGGGUGGGUCUCUGAGAAAAUGCCUUUGCAUCUAUGUGAGGUACGAUAAGCUUGGGGGAGUCGUUUGUCCCCUCUCAAGGACUUGUCUGGUGCUAUGGAGUCUUCCUGAAGUAUGGUAACUAUGUGGAGAGCAACUUCCCUGUAACCAGAGAUGCUCAGUCCUCAACUCUCUUCCUUCUACAUCACUUGGGUGAGCUUCCCUGGUCACGCCACUCUAGUCCUCCUCCCUACCAACUCUGGCUUGCUUCAGAGGAUGUGAGCGGGGGGACCAAGAGUUGCCCUUGGCCCGUGUGUCCGCUCACAAAGGUGCAUCACCCAGGGCAGGUGGAGGGUCCAAGGCUUAGCACAGCAUCCCGGACUGAUGUGCUCUGGCCUAGGUUCCUGAAUCCUGCUCCCUGAGGGCUGUGCUGGCUCCGUAGCUGGACCCCGCACCAGGGAGGCUCUUAUGGGCGGUGAGCAGUCAAAGGGCAGUAGGGAGCUGAGGAGCAGCCACAGCCCUGCGGUCCCAAGGAGGACAAGAUGGGGAAGCUCUGCGGCUGUCUGCACUCUGACAUCAGCUAGUGCGGCAGCCGCCUCACCCUGCCUGACUCUGGCUUCUGGCCUCUGACAUGGCCAUGGGCCAGGGCCUUGGAGGAGAGGAGGCGGGGCUGGCACUUCACUGAGGAGGAGCAGGGGGUGGAGCCACAGGAGGGGCAGGGCCUCAUGGCAAAGAAGAUUGCAGCUGCCACCAGAAGAGGCUGGCGCUGCCCACGGCUGGCCACGGGGUGUUAUUGUUUGUUUCUGAGAAACACUCUGCGCAUUACUUUGAGUUGCCACUGGGUGUCACCACUGCUCCAUGGAAGAGAGAGUCCAUGCAUUACCCCUGACUAGCCAGUGGUGUCACUGCUGCUCCUGAAUAAACAGUUUGUGCAUUACUCUGUGUGUCCCCUGGGUGUCACUGCUGCUCCAGGGCAGAUGCAUUAUCCU